rnacentral:piRNA from 1 species
UAGAUUCCCAGUGAUGCCUGAAAAU